rnacentral:tRNA from 1 species
GGGGGUGUAACUCAGUGGUAGAGUACAUGCCUCACACACAUGACGUUCUCAUUUCCAUCCCAGCACUUCCA